CACGUAGGGCGCAAGCGUUGUCCGGAAUUACUGGGCGUAAAGCGCACGUAGGCGGCUUUGUAAGUUAGAGGUGAAAGCCCGGGGCUCAACUCCGGAAUUGCCUUUAAGACUGCAUCGCUAGAAUUGUGGAGAGGUAAGUGGAAUUCCGAGUGUAGAGGUGAAAUUCGUAGAUAUUCGGAAGAACACCAGUGGCGAAGGCGACUUACUGGACACAUAUUGACGCUGAGGUGCGAAAGCGUGGGGAGCAAACAGG
rnacentral:rRNA from 1 species